AAGAGCAUAGUUUAAUUGGUAAAAUAAUGGACUCCAACUCCAUUGUUCUAGGUUCGAGUCCUAGUGCUCUUG
rnacentral:tRNA from 1 species